rnacentral:rRNA from 1 species
GACGAACGCUGGCGGCGUGCUUAACACAUGCAAGUCGAACGGAAAGGCCCUGCUUUUGUGGGGUGCUCGAGUGGCGAACGGGUGAGUAACACGUGAGUAACCUGCCCUUGACUUUGGGAUAACUUCAGGAAACUGGGGCUAAUACCGGAUAGGAGCUCCUGCUGCAUGGGGGGGGUUGGAAAGUUUCGGCGGUUGGGGAUGGACGCGCGGCUUAUCAGCUUGUUGGUGGGGUAGUGGCUUACCAAGGCUUUGACGGGUAGCCGGCCUGAGAGGGUGACCGGCCACAUUGGGACUGAGAUACGGCCCAGACUCCUACGGGAGGCAGCAGUGGGGAAUAUUGCACAAUGGGCGGAAGCCUGAUGCAGCAACGCCGCGUGCGGGAUGACGGCCUUCGGGUUGUAAACCGCUUUCGCCUGUGACGAAGCGUGAGUGACGGUAAUGGGUAAAGAAGCACCGGCUAACUACGUG